rnacentral:rRNA from 1 species
UACGUAGGGGGCUAGCGUUGUCCGGAAUCAUUGGGCGUAAAGAGCGUGUAGGCGGUCCGGUAAGUCCGCUGUGAAAGUCGGGGGCUCAACCCUCGAAUGCCGGUGGAUACUGUCGGGCUAGAGUGCGGAAGAGGCGAGUGGAAUUCCUGGUGUAGCGGUGAAAUGCGCAGAUAUCAGGAGGAACACCUAUUGCGAAGGCAGCUCGCUGGGACGUUACUGACGCUGAGGUGCGAAAGCGUGGGGAGCAAACAGG